GGCCGCCUGGCGAAAUGGCAUCGCGUCUGACUACGAUUUGCAGUUAUCAAGUUUGCAAUGUAAUCAGGAGAUUGCAGGUUCGACCCCUGCGGUGGUCA